rnacentral:rRNA from 1 species
GGAUGCGAUCAUACCAGCACUAAAGCACCGGAUCCCAUCAGAACUCCGAAGUUAAGCGUGCUUGGGCGAGAGUUGUUUGACGUUUGCGAUAUGUUUAAGCUCGAUGCUCAUUGC